GGUUAAUAUUCCUGUACUUGGUGUUACUGCGAAGGGGGGACGGAGAAGGCUAUGUUAGCCGGGCGACGGUUGUCCCGGUUUAAGCAUGUAGGCUGGUUAUCCAGGCAAAUCCGGAUAACCAAGGCUGAGGUGUGAUGACGAGGCACUACGGUGCUGAAGUAACAAAUGCCCUGCUUCCAGGAAAAGCCUCUAAGCAUCAGGUAACAUCAAAUCG
rnacentral:rRNA from 1 species